rnacentral:rRNA from 1 species
AUUCCGGAGAGGGAGCCUGAGAAACGGCUACCACAUCCAAGGAAGGCAGCAGGCGCGCAAAUUACCCAAUCCCAACACGGGGAGGUAGUGACAAUAAAUAACAAUAUGGGGCCUUUACGGGUCUCGUAAUUGGAAUGAGUACAAUUUAAAUCUCUUAACGAGGAACAAUUGGAGGGCAAGUCUGGUGCCAGCAGCCGCGGUAAUUCCAGCUCCAAUAGCGUAUAUUAAAGUUGUUGCAGUUAAAAAGCUCGUAGUUGAAUUUCGGGAUCUAUCCGUCGGUCGGGCCUCACGGUCCGCACUGGUGUGAUGGAUUCCUACCUUCUGAAUAACCGGUAUGCCAUUAAUUUGAUGUGCCGGGGAAGCAGAACCAUUACCUUGAAAAAAUUAGAGUGCUCAAAGCAGGCCUAUGCCUGAAUACAUUAGCAUGGAAUAAUAAAAUAGGACGGCAUGGUUCUAUUUUGUUGGUUUCUAGGAUCACCGUAAUGAUUAAUAGGGAUAGUUGGGGGCAUUAGUAUUCAAUUGUCAGAGGUGAAAUUCUUGGAUUUAUUGAAGACUAACUUCUGCGAAAGCAUUUGCCAAGGAUGUUUUCAUUAAUCAAGAACGAAAGUUAGGGGAUCGAAGACGAUCAGAUACCGUCGUAGUCUUAACCAUAAACUAUGCCGACUAGGGAUCGGACGA